AUUGAACGCUGGCGGCAGGCCUAACACAUGCAAGUCGAGCGGAUGAAGGGAGCUUGCUCCUGGAUUCAGCGGCGGACGGGUGAGUAAUUCCUAGGAAUCUGCCUGGUAGUGGGGGAUAACGUCCGGAAACGGGCGCUAAUACCGCAUACGUCCUGAGGGAGAAAGUGGGGGAUCUUCGGACCUCACGCUAUCAGAUGAGCCUAGGUCGGAUUAGCUAGUUGGUGGGGUAAAGGCCUACCAAGGCGACGAUCCGUAACUGGUCUGAGAGGAUGAUCAGUCACACUGGAACUGAGACACGGUCCAGACUCCUACGGGAGGCAGCAGUGGGGAAUAUUGGACAAAGGGCGAAAGCCUGAUCCAGCCAUGCCGCGUGUGUGAAGAAGGUCUUCGGAUUGUAAAGCACUUUAAGUUGGGAGGAAGGGCAGUAAGUUAAUACCUUGCUGUUUUGACGUUACCAACAGAAUAAGCACCAGCUAACUUCGUG
rnacentral:rRNA from 1 species